UUCUUUUACAGUUCGGCGAGUAAACAUUGAAAAUAUUUCUUUCGAAACGUCUAAGACGAAAAUAUUAAUAAUUCCGCAAAUUAAAUUAAUUAAUUAAAUUAAGAUAAUUACAUUAAUUUAAAGAGGCAUUAAAUAUAAUAUAACUUCCUUUCAGCCUUCGUUAAACGUUUAAUGUCGACAAGAACGAAAUUAGGUAGAGCGUGCGAGAUAUUACAUCAAUUUCCUUUCGUACUCUGAGAAUUAAACGUUGAAAUACACUCUUUUCAUACGGCUACAUUUAAUAAUCCGAUAAUUUUUUAAUUAUUUAAACAAUAUAUAAUGUUCUUGAAGUAUGAUGAGGUAAUAUUUGAACAAUAGUACACUCUGUUGAAGAUAAUAUAGUUCUUAAGAUGCGGUGAACAUAAUAUAAACUUUCUUUCACUUUUCGUCGAUUGUUUAAUGUUAACAAGAAGAAACCAUGUCAGUUUCUUUUCUUACUCCGAGGACUAAACGUCAAAAUACACUCUUUCCAUAUUCCUACAUUUAAUCAUCUUAUAGAUAAAAACUUCAUUGCAAUCGCGUGCGUAGCGAUGAAGUAAUCAAGUGUUUGUUUCGUUAAAAUAAAAAUAUCGCGAAAUAAAAGCAUUGUUUGUUCGUUCGCGUUUCGCGAUUUAUAUAACAAAUAUUUUUGCAUCGAUUACGUACAGUGCAGUUGUUAUACUCAAAAAGCAAAGUCCUACUGGGAACUUCGUUUUAUUUGUUCGAAAAUUUGAUUAGAUUAUCUCGCGAACGCGUAUUCUAGAGUAGUGGCACCAUUAACCAGCCCGUAGGUUUCCAUAUGCAGCAACUUCCACAUAGUGAGACCUGGGUCGUUAGUAUUUGCGAUAUAUUGAAAUCUAAUUGUAAAUUACGCAAUACAAAUACUACCUACUACGGUUGAUAAAUUUAUUAUAAAAGACGAAUUACCUGGAAACAGAAAACAAUAUAGCCAGUUGCUGCUGUUGAUCUAUCUUCUAGUACAUCUUGCAUUGAUCUCAAACUGCUACCUAAGUAAACAUUAAUGAGUUGAGCUGGUAAUAAACCCAAUGCACUAGCCACAUGGUAGCGAAUGCCAGUUAUGUUGCUAACCUGUAUCAUGCCAAAAGGUAUCGGAGUUAAUCUUGCAAACAGUACAACUUUAAAAGCUUGUGGACCUGAAAUUACUCUAAGUAUUGCUCUUGCAGUAUCACUUUGUAAUAAUGCUCCGAUUGGCAGUUUAGAAGAGAAAGCACCCAAAGUGACAUGUGCUAUAGCAAUACCCAAAUUUGCAGAAAGAACAACCAUCAUUAUGCCUCGCACGAUUCCAAAAAGAUAACCACUGGCAACAAUGAGGAAUAAAUAUCCAAUUACAAUAGGAAAGGAAACCACUGUGAAUAGUGCAACAAAUAUGACUGUAAUAAUCCAAAUAUUCUGGUGUUCUAUCCAGAAGAGCAACACUUUAAUGUAAUCUUUACAUAUGAAAACUAUAGCUCCUAAAAGAGCUAAAGUUGCAAUGGUAAUUGCUACAUAGCAUACAGAAUUUGAACUGAUGCAGUUGCAGUGUAUAGACGUUGGAUGUUUAGAGGAAUGCACACAGGUCUCAACAUGUUCUAUAUCUAUUAUAUCCAUGCUCAAUGUAUUUGCCAUAUAUAUCCAUAAUUAAAAUUUUCCUUCUUCACCAUAACCUAAGACAAAAUUAUAAUUGCUUAUAAAUAUAAUAUAAUAUAAUAUAAUAUAAUAUAAUAUAAUA